rnacentral:ncRNA from 1 species
UCCAGACGGGAAGUGGUGUAUCCAGUGGCGAAUGGAUGGGUAAUACAAGAACCUACCCUUGGGAGAGGGACAACAGUUGGAAACGGUUGCUAAUACCCAUAGGCUGAGGAGCAAAAGGAGGAACCUGCCCAAGGAGGGUUUGCGUCUGAUUUGCUAGUUGGUGAGGUAAUAGCUUACCAAGGCGAUGGUCAAUAGCUGGUCCGAGAGGAUGAUCAGCCACACCGGGACUAGGACAAGGUCCAAAUUCCUACGGGAGGAA